UCCGGGGUAGUGUAACGGUAGCACAAGGGGCUUUGAACCCUUUAGCGAAAGUUCGAACCUUUCCCCCGGAGCCA
rnacentral:tRNA from 1 species